GAUGAACGCUGGCGGCGUGCUUAAUACAUGCAAGUCGAGCGAACAGAUGAGGAGCUUGCUCCUCUGACGUUAGCGGCGGACGGGUGAGUAACACGUGGAUAACCUCCCUAUAAGACUGGGAUAACUUCGGGAAACCGGAGCUAAUACCGGAUAAUAUAUUGAACCGCAUGGUUCAAUAGUGAAAGACGGUUUUGCUGUCACUUAUAGAUGGAUCCGCGCCGCAUUAGCUAGUUGGUAAGGUAACGGCUUACCAAGGCAACAAUGCGUAGCCGACCUGAGAGGGUGAUCGGCCACACUGGAACUGAGACACGGUCCAGACUCCUACGGGAGGCAGCAGUAGGGAAUCUUCCGCAAUGGGCGAAAGCCUGACGGAGCAACGCCGCGUGAGUGAUGAAGGUCUUCGGAUCGUAAAACUCUGUUAUUAGGGAAGAACAAAUGUGUAAGUAACUAUGCACGUCUUGACGGUACCUAAUCAGAAAGCCACGGCUAACUACGUG
rnacentral:rRNA from 1 species